rnacentral:rRNA from 1 species
CACGUAGGGCGCAAGCGUUGUCCGGAAUUAUUGGGCGUAAAGAGCUCGUAGGCGGACUGUCACGUCUGCUGUGAAAAGCUGGGGCUUAACCCUGGCCUUGCAGUGGAUACGGGCAGACUAGAGGUAGGUAGGGGAGAAUGGAAUUCCCGGUGUAGCGGUGAAAUGCGCAGAUAUCGGGAGGAACACCGGUGGCGAAGGCGGUUCUCUGGGCCGUAACUGACGCUGAGGAGCGAAAGCGU